CAAAAAGACCGGAGUUGGACCCAAAGAGGGGGCAACCCAAGAGUUGAGACAAUGGAAGCUGUGAAUACCAGGAGACCCAAAGGAGACUGCACCACUGAAUCUCCCAGGUAUUCUACCACAGACAUUCACACCAUAAAACCAGGGAGCCAGAACAUGUCAACUUAAGAGGCAGAGAAUAACAAGAAGAGUCUCAUAAACAAUGGGAAGACAAAGAAACAAUCCCCAAAUGAAGGGAAAGGAAGAAGCCUCAGAAA